GUGCUCACUUCAGUAGCACAUACAUUAAAAUUGGAACAAUACAGAAGAUUAUCAUGACCCAUGCACAAGGAUGACUUGCAAAUUCGUGAAGCGUUCCAUAUUAAA
ensembl:snRNA U6 U6 spliceosomal RNA